GACAGAGGAUGCAAGCGUUAUCCGGAAUCAUUGGGUUUAAAGGGUCCGUAGGCGGUUUUGUAAGUCAGUGGUGAAAGCCCAUCGCUCAACGGUGGAACGGCCAUUGAUACUGCAAGACUUGAAUUAUUGGGAAGUAACUAGAAUAUGUAGUGUAGCGGUGAAAUGCUUAGAGAUUACAUGGAAUACCAAUUGCGAAGGCAGGUUACUACCAAUAUAUUGACGCUGAUGGACGAAAGCGUGGGGGAGCGAAC
rnacentral:rRNA from 1 species